UUCUCCUGGUUGAAGGCCUUCUUCCUUGGAGGAGACUUUUUGUAGCUAGAGUCUCAACACCAGCUGAAGGAUUUCAUCUGCGUGGUUGCCCUGGGAAGCCAGGAAACAGAACCAUAAGGCAGCUGUAUGAGCAGAGAGAGAACUCAGAAUCAGGCCAGAAGGAUUCCUGUCAGCAACAGAGAGGUCACCAAAGGUUUUAUGAGCUCAUACCUGUACUGCAUUUCUCAGCUGUGACUCACUAGCAGUUGGUCAGCCUUUAUGCUUCCAGAACACCAUUUUACAUUUGGAAACCUCUUUGGCUGUAAAUACGUCUGAAGGUUAGUGUGGAUCUGUCAGUCGGUGACCUUGCAGGACAGAUGUUUACAAUUACUUUCUCAGCAAAUAUAGGCCAAGAGUGUAGUAAAGAAUAUGAAUCAUUUAUGUGCCCAGUUUAUCAUUAUGGUCACAGAAUCAGCAGCCUUAGUCUUGGAAACUUGGUUAAAGCGAA